UACGUAGGGUGCAAGCGUUGUCCGGAAUUAUUGGGCGUAAAGAGCUCGUAGGCGGUCUGUCGCGUCUGCUGUGAAAACUCGGGGCUUAACCCCGGGCCUGCAGUGGGUACGGGCAGACUAGAGUGCGGUAGGGGAGACUGGAACUCCUGGUGUAGCGGUGAAAUGCGCAGAUAUCAGGAGGAACACCGGUGGCGAAGGCGGGUCUCUGGGCCGAUACUGACGCUGAGGAGCGAAAGCGUGGGGAGCGAACAGG
rnacentral:rRNA from 1 species